AACGAACGCUGGCGGCAGGCCUAAAACAUGCAAGUCGAACGGGUGUAGCAAUACAUCAGUGGCGCACGGGUGAGUAACGCGUGGGAACGUGCCCUUCAGUACGGGACAACGUCGGGAAACUGACGCUAAUACCGUAUAAUAUCUCCGGAUCAAAGAUUUAUCGCUGAAGGAGCGGCCCGCGUCUGAUUAGCUAGUUGGUGGGGUAAUGGCCUACCAAGGCUACGAUCAGUAGCUGGUCUGAGAGGAUGAUCAGCCACACUGGGACUGAGACACGGCCCAGACUCCUACGGGAGGCAGACAGUUAGGAAUAUUGGACAAUGGGCGAAAGCCUGAUCCAGCCAUGCCGCGUGUGUGAUGAAGGCCCUAGGGUUGUAAAGCACUUUCGUUGGGGAUGAUAAUGACCGUACCCAAAGAAGAAGCCACGGCUAAAUUCGUGCCAGCAGCCGCGGUAAGUCGUGUGACA
rnacentral:rRNA from 1 species